rnacentral:lncRNA from 1 species
UAUUCACAUUAAAAUUAUAAAUUGAAACAAUUCAUUUUUAAUUCAAGACAAAGUAAACACAUGAAUGAGACUUUAUUUUUAUUUCACAUUUUUCAUUUCAGUGUAAGUAAACAAUCUAUUUCUACUCCCACUUCACACUCCUGAUCUCAAUAUUCUCACUUUUCAGACUUCCCAAUCCAAUUAAAAAAUACUGUCAAAAAGUUAGUUUGAUGAACAUUCAUAUAAUUAUAAUUAUUUCAUUAAUGAAGGGUAGUUAUCAAAUGUUUUUCCAAAACACAUUCGCUUUUAAUUAUAUUAUUAAUAUCCAACUCAAACAUUAAAAUUUAUUUAGCAAAUAUACAUACACAUCAGAUUGAAGAUUAAAUACUUUUCGGAGCAUGCUUUUGACUUGAUAUCUAAAUAUAAAUGCUUUUUAUUUUUUAUUUUUUGUGUUUAAUUUUCAUAUCAACACUUAUUCAUAAAGGGUAUGAAAUAAUAUUGCCAUUUUAAGGUGCAGAUCAAUGACAGCUAGAUGCUUGGGCUUGGGCUCGGCUACAUGGAGACAUUUUGAGAUCCUAUCUCUCUGAGUUAAUACUGGUUGGUGUACCAAACGUAUAUUUUAUUAUGGAUAUACCUUCCACAUUUAUAUCCAAAUUUUUUAAACUAUAACGUAAAGUCUUAUAAAUCAAAAUUCUCAUUAUUCAUCAUAAAUGUGUCCCUAUUUCAAAUUUAAAUAUAAUAGUACUAUAGGGAAAAGGCCUAAACGUAUAUAAAUUAUCUUCCAAUUUAAACUGCCGUUUGCGGAUUAGUAAUUUGAAUUCUAUUAUCAAUUUUUU